CAGAACGAACGCUGGCGGCGCGUUUAAGCAUGCAAGUCGAGCGGCAAGGGCCUCGGGCCCUAGAGCGGCGGACGGGUGAGUAACACGUGGACAAUCUGCCCCCCGGCCCGGGAUAGCCCAGGGAAACCUGGAUUAAUACCGGAUGAGACGGGACCCGCGAUGGCGGGACCCGGGAAAGGCGCUGCGGCGCCGCCGGGGGAUGAGUCUGCGUCCCAUUAGCUAGACGGCGGGGUAACGGCCCACCGUGGCGACGAUGGGUAGCCGGCCUGAGAGGGUGGACGGCCACAUUGGAACUGAGACACGGUCCAGACUCCUACGGGAGGCAGCAGCUAAGAAUCUUCCGCAAUGGGCGAAAGCCUGGCGGAGCGACGCCGCGUGAGGGAUGACAAGCUUUCGGGUUGUAAACCUCUUUUAUUAAGGAAAAAAGAUCUAUAUGCUAAUAUCAUGUAGAUUUGAUGGUACUUAUUGAAUAAGCCCCGGCUAACUACGUGCCAGCAGCUGC
rnacentral:rRNA from 1 species